GACGAACGCUGGCGGCGUGCUUAACACAUGCAAGUCGAACGGAAAGGCCCUUCGGGGUACUCGAGUGGCGAACGGGUGAGUAACACGUGGGUGAUCUGCCCUGCACUUUGGGAUAAGCCUGGGAAACUGGGUCUAAUACCGAAUAGGACCACGCGCUUCAUGGUGUGUGGUGGAAAGCUUUUGCGGUGUGGGAUGGGCCCGCGGCCUAUCAGCUUGGUGGUGGGGUAAUGGCCUACCAAGGCGACGACGGGUAGCCGGCCUGAGAGGGUGACCGGCCACACUGGGACUGAGAUACGGCCCAGACUCCUACGGGAGGCAGCAGUGGGGAAUAUUGCACAAUGGGCGCAAGCCUGAUGCAGCGACGCCGCGUGAGGGAUGACGGCCUUCGGGUUGUAAACCUCUUUCAAUAGGGACGAAGCGAAAGUGACGGUACCUAUAGAAGAAGCACCGGCCAACUACGUG
rnacentral:rRNA from 1 species